GUGGGGAAUUUUGGACAAUGGGCGCAAGCCUGAUCCAGCAAUGCCGCGUGCAGGAAGAAGGCCUUCGGGUUGUAAACUGCUUUUGUACGGAACGAAACGGUCCGGGUUAAUACCCUGGGCUAAUGACGGUACCGUAAGAAUAAGCACCGGCUAACUACGUGCCAGCAGCCGCGGUAAUACGUAGGGUGCAAGCGUUAAUCGGAAUUACUGGGCGUAAAGCGUGCGCAGGCGGUUUUGUAAGACAGGCGUGAAAUCCCCGGACUCAACCUGGGAAUUGCGCUUGUGACUGCAAGGCUGGAGUGCGGCAGAGGGGGAUGGAAUUCCGCGUGUAGCAGUGAAAUGCGUAGAUAUGCGGAGGAACACCGAUGGCGAAGGCAAUCCCCUGGGCCUGCACUGACGCUCAUGCACGAAAGCGUGGGGAGCAAACAGGAUUAGAAACCCUUGUAGUCC
rnacentral:rRNA from 1 species